rnacentral:rRNA from 1 species
AACGAACGCUGGCGGCAGGCUUAACACAUGCAAGUCGAACGCCCCUUUCGGGGGGAGUGGCAGACGGGUGAGUAACGCGUGGGAACGUGCCCUUCAGUUUGGAAUAACCCAGGGAAACUUGGGCUAAUACCGGAUACGCCCUUCGGGGGAAAGAUUUAUCGCUGAAGGAUCGGCCCGCGUCUGAUUAGCUGGUUGGUGAGGUAAUGGCUCACCAAGGCGACGAUCAGUAGCUGGUCUGAGAGGAUGAUCAGCCACAUUGGGACUGAGACACGGCCCAAACUCCUACGGGAGGCAGCAGUGGGGAAUAUUGGACAAUGGGCGCAAGCCUGAUCCAGCCAUGCCGCGUGAGUGAUGACGGCCUUAGGGUUGUAAAGCUCUUUCGCACGCGACGAUAAUGACGGUAGCGUGAGAAGAAGCCCCGGCUAACUUCGUGCCAGCCGCCGCGGUAA